rnacentral:rRNA from 1 species
UACGUAGGGUGCAAGCGUUAAUCGGAAUUACUGAGCGUAAAGCGUGCGCAGGCGGUUCUAUAAGACAGAUGUGAAAUCCCCCGGGCUCAACCUGGGAACUGCAUUUGUGACUGUAGAGCUGGAGUACGGUAGAGGGGGGUGGAAUUGCUGGUGUAGCGGUGAAAUGCGUAGAGAUCCGGAAGAACACCGGUGGGCGAAGGCGGCCUGCUGGGCAGUGGCUGACGCUGGAGGCGCGGACAGCGUGGGGAGCAAACAGG